AGUGAACGCUGGCGGCGUGCCUAAUACAUGCAAGUCGAACGGAGUGGCGCACGGGUGAGUAAUAUAUAGCUAAUCUGCCCCUUGCUGGAGGACAACAGUUAGAAAUGACUGCUAAUACUCCAUAGCAAGGGAUGAGACUAUAUCGUAUCAGCUAGUCGGUGGGGUAACGGCCUACCGAGGCUAUGACGCGUAACUGGUCUGAGAGGAUGAUCAGGAGAAUGGGAACUGAGACACGGUUCAAACUCCUUCGGGAGGCAGCAGAAGGGAAUAUCGCGCAAGGGGCGAAACCCAGACGCAGCAACGGCGCGUGGAGGAUGACACUGUGCGGAGCGUAAACUCCUUUUGUUAGGGAAGCGGUACCUAACGAAUAAGCACCGGCUAACUCCGUGCCAGCAGCCGCGGUAAUUC
rnacentral:rRNA from 1 species